UACGAAGGGUGCAAGCGUUAAUCGGAAUUACUGGGCGUAAAGGGUGCGUAGGCGGUUGUUUAAGUCUGUCGUGAAAUCCCCGGGCUCAACCUGGGAAUGGCGAUGGAUACUGGACAGCUAGAGUGUGUCAGAGGAUGGUGGAAUUCCCGGUGUAGCGGUGAAAUGCGUAGAGAUCGGGAGGAACAUCAGUGGCGAAGGCGGCCCCCUGGGCCAGCACUGACGCUCAUGCACGAAAGCGUGGGGAGCAAACAGG
rnacentral:rRNA from 1 species